GACGAACGCUGGCGGCGUGCUUAACACAUGCAAGUCGAACGGAAAGGCCCUGCUUUUGUGGGGUGCUCGUGUGGCGAACGGGUGAGUAACACGUGAGUAACCUGCCCUUGACUUUGGGAUAACUUCAGGAAACUGGGGCUAAUACCGGAUAGGAGCUCCUGCUGCAUGGUGGGGGUUGGAAAGUUUCGGCGGUUGGGGAUGGACUCGCGGCUUAUCAGCUUGUUGGUGGGGUAGUGGCUUACAAAGGCUUUGACGGGUAGCCGGCCUGAGAGGGUGACCGGCCACAUUGGGACUGAGAUACGGCCCAGACUCCUACGGGAGGCAGCAGUGGGGAAUAUUGCACAAUGGGCGGAAGCCUGAUGCAGCAACGCCGCGUGCGGGAUGACGGCCUUCGGGUUGUAAACCGCUUUCGCCUGUGACGAAGCGUGAGUGACGGUAAUGGGUAAAGAAGCACCGGCUAACUACGUG
rnacentral:rRNA from 1 species